GACGAACCGUGCGAACGUUAUUCGGAAUCACUGGGCUUAAAGCGCGUGUAGGCGGGCCGGCACGUCGGUCGCUGAAAUCCCCCGGCUCAACCGGGGAAUGGGCGCCGAUACGACCGGCCUGGAGGGGCGUAGGGGGACCUGGAACUUCCGGUGGAGCGGUGAAAUGCGUUGAGAUCGGAAGGAACGCCCGUGGCGAAAGCGAGGUCCUGGACGCCAUCUGACGCUGAGACGCGAAAGCCAGGGGAGCGAACGGG
rnacentral:rRNA from 1 species